UAAUAUUAGUAUAAGUUUAUUAUUUUUGAUUUUCGAUUAAAAGAUUGAUAUUAUG
rnacentral:tRNA from 1 species